UACAGGGGGUGCAAACGUUGCUCGGAAUCAUUGGGCGUAAAGGGCGCGUAGGCGGUGCGGUAAGUCACCUGUGAAAUCUCCUGGCUCAACUGGGAGCUUGCAGGCGAAACUGCCGUGCUGGAGUGUGGGAGAGGUGCGUGGAAUUCCUGGUGUAGCGGUGAAAUGCGUAGAUAUCAGGAGGAACACCUGUGGCGAAAGCGGCGCACUGGACCACAACUGACGCUGAGGCGCGAAAGCGUGGGGAGCAAACAGG
rnacentral:rRNA from 1 species